rnacentral:tRNA from 1 species
GCCCCCAUAGCUUAGUUGGUAGAGCAUUUGCCUAGACAGCGAAAGGCCCACAGGUCAAGCCUGGGUGGAGGCA